UCGCGGUCGGGCCUCAACUCCAGCGAGAGAAAGGGUUGCAGUGCACCCAAACAGGACAUCCCUAUGCCUCGGCCAGAUCUUGUUAUCCACGAGUCAGAUCGCUGCUGCUGCAACUCGCCACCAGAUUUCGUCAUUCACGGUCGGAGAAAGCUGACCCACCGUCGAUCGCCGGAGUUUUUGAACGAGCCGCCGGCAUUCGCUGAGAGAAUGGAUAGCAG
rnacentral:lncRNA from 1 species